UUCCUGCCAGAUGAAAGGACACUUUAAAAACACACUUUAUUGGCAAAUAUAUUCCCCCUCCUCCCUGCCAUUGGAAAUCUGCUUCAAACAGCCUGUGCGCUUGUGGAGAGAGAAUGAAAACAGGACAGUAUUUGCUCUCUGGACUUUUUUUCUGCCAGGAUCAAGAAAAAGAGAAAAAGCUACAUCUGUGGCCACCCAAACACGGAAGUAACCAGGACACACCUGGAGUCAUAAACCGUGGCAAAGGGCCAAACCUUUGGAUCAUAUGCGGAUAGAGAGGCAAUACCUGAAGCACAAUUCCUGGUGACCCAUGAGUGGGUGAAAGAAACCAAGAGGGAAAGAGGGUCUGAAGAGUUUGUUCACCCGGGUGAAGGCUAGAAGAUCAAGUUCCUGAAGGAAUGUUGCCAUAGCAGUGUUAGAAUGGAUUGCUUUUGUUGGGUGGAGCUCAGAUGUGGUCAUUACGGAAAGAUCCUUCAUCUUACCUGCCGGGGGGUUUGUGCUCCGUCCCGGGACUUGACCAAUCAUUAAUAAAGAUGGUAUGUGACUGUGUUAUCAGUUGGCUUUGGGCCAGGCCUGUGAGUGGGGACUGAAAGACUGUUAUCUGUCCACAGUGGACGACACAAGCACCUCUUAACCUCUCCAACUUUCACAAUAAAUGCUCAAGAGAACACUUACCUGAACCAGGGGUCGCUCAAUAAAAUUUAGUUUACAAACCCUUAUUUACAUGCUUUGCACAUUGCACUUCAGAAAAUAUAUCAAAAACGUGUCAUUUGCAUUAGUUCCAGCUCUGCCUGUGGUGUAUGUGGUGAGUCACAUUUAAAUGGACCAAACAAUCAAUAGAUUAUCAUGAAGAACAUUCAGAAAAGAACAGCCUCUGUUUUUCUGUGCAGAGAUCUGGAAACAGACACUUUAAAGCAUUAGUUCACCCAAAAAUGAACAUUCCUGUCAUCGUUUACUCACCCUCAUGUCGUUCCAAACCUGUAUGACUUUCUUUCUUCUUUGGGAAUACAGAGUAGGAGGAAUGUUUCAAAUGUUUUUGUCCAUACAGUGAAAGUCAAUGGAGUCUAAUAUUGUAAAUAUUUGUGACUUUCAUAUAACUCCUAACUUUAGGUGCUUGAAAGCACUUUGGUGCCGCAGCGCUUUUUUUCUUCUUCAGUUGAGACACUUUGGUUGUUAUGACACAGAAUAUCUACGGAAGUGUUACUAGUAUCUGAUUUUGCAGAUAGUUUGUUUCUGAAUAUAAAAAUGUUGACAAGUUUACUGCAACAAUAGAGCCACGAACUUCACAUACUUCUGAAAAUUCAACAUUUAGUUGAUCCUGGAGAGCGCUCAUUGUCACAGUUGUAAACACGGCGGCGCUGGAAAAAGUAGCUUUUUUGGAAGAAUUCAACCAGCCAGAUGACGACUUCAAAAAUCCUGAAGUGUUUCCAGUUAAGUGUGCCAUAUGCAUCAGAUGUUCAGCCAACGGUUCGUGGGCGUGACGUCUGAGGCUGAGACUAGGUAAAAAGUGACAGUGAUAAUCAACUCUAGACGAGCAGAAAAAAUGGCAAACACACAGAGCUCAGCGUGAAAUAGACGCUCGCUGCUGCCAUUUUUAAAUAUUCAGUGCUCUCAUUGAAAACAAUUGAAAAACUAUGCAGGCUGUAGAGUAAAAAACACUUUGGUCUAAAUGAGUUUUCAUUUUUUGGGUGAACAACCCCUUCAAGUGCAAUAAAAAUGAUCUUGUUUGAUCUGACUCUUCCCUGGUUAACAAAGCAGGUUACAAUAGGCCUAGUCACAUAUAUGAGUAAAAACGAAGGCAAGUAAAAAAAAAUUCAGUUCCUCAAUGGCAUCAGCAAUUCGAUGGAAUUCAGAUCCUUUAUCCCGCUGUAAGUCAUAACCGUGCACUGAUCCUCAGCCAAACUCUCUGUAUUAGUUCAGCCUAGAAGUAAAAAUUGAAUUUAUCUUGGCAUAGUUAAAUAACAAGAGUUCAGUACAUGGAAAUGACAUACAGUGAGUCUCAAACUCCAUUGUUUCCUCCUUCUUAUAUAAAUCUCAUUUGU